AGGCAUCCAAAGAUUUAAUAAAGAUGAAGAAACUGAGUCCCAUAGAAAGGGAGAGUUUUGAAGACCCAAGGUCAAUCAAGAUGAUGGAUAAAGGACAACACCCAGCUGAACUGUUCUAAUAAUCCCUUCCAAACAACUUUAAAAUAGCACCUAAGAGCAAAUUCUGGAGUGGCAGAGCCAUCAACAAGUCUAGGCUAGCUGAUGGCUGUCCUGGCAGAAGCUUGGCCUCUGGCCAAGCUCCAUCUUUAAACCUUCUCUAUCUCUCUUUCAUCUCUCUGACCUGUGUGGUAUUAAAUGUGGAUCUCUGGACUGGUAAAAGCCUUUGGAAGGGUCCUUUGAUCAGAGCUUAGCUGUGGCUCAAGGAAAUUUAAUAAAGACUCAUUACUGCCACCUCA
rnacentral:lncRNA from 1 species